UCAGACCGUUCUUGGAGAUUUCCUUGGUGAUUCUGACAAAUUCAACAAGGAAGUCAUGUAUGCGUACGUAGAUCAGAUGAAUUUCUCCUGGCCGAACUAUUGUUCCAGCUCUCAGGAUGUUCCUAGAUGAUUUCCGGUUGCCUGGAGAAGCUCAAAAAAUUGAUAGACUGAUGGAAAAGUUUGCUCAGAGAUAUUUUGAGACGACUGCCUACCAGGGUCUCUUUGCCAGUGCUGACACUGCCUAUGUCUUGGCUUAUUCUAUUAUUAUGUUAACAACGGAUUUACAUAGUUCACAGGUGAAACACAAAAUGACCAAAGAGCAAUAUAUUAAAAUGAAUAGGGGUAUCAAUGAUAGCAAAGAUUUGCCUGAAGAUUUCCUCUCUGCAAUUUACGAUGAGAUUGCAGACAAUGAAAUUAGGAUGAAACAAACUGCAAACAAACCAACGGCCAAGACAACAGGUAUGUUAUGUG